AUUUCAAAAUGAUUGACAGAUAAAGCCUGGAAAGGAACGGCCUUUAGCAAUACAGGGCUCCCGGCAGUCUUAGACAAUUCGUAGCAACAUCAACAGCCAGUUUUCAAAGAGAUGGCGCGCGAUAAAAUGCUUCAACUUUCUCGACAAACGUCCGAUUUGUCAUUCGAAUGUCAGGAAACUACGAACAAAACUUCAAGGGGGAUGUGGAAAUCAUGCGUUUUAUAUCGCAAAAACCGAAUUACGAUGAAGCGAUAAAGACAAUCUUCUCGAUGAAGACUCAAGUUUUCAAUUAUGCAAGAGUGGCCCAUACCAGAAAGAAAAGUCCCAUGGGUGCACGAGCAAUCCAAGGGAGGUGUCGAAACAGCUCGGUGUUGACAACGCCUGGAUGAAGUGCAUUGGCAGUCACAUGAGUACUGUCUAUGGACAGUCGUCUUUGUAGAGCAUAGGUGAACAGGACAUUGGCAACUUUAGCUUGGGCAUAAGCGCCAAAUCUGGAGUACGAUUUUCUAGAAGAUAGGAUAAAGAUACCUUAUUAAAUUUAUUUUGCUUUCUUUUCA